CCUACGGGAGGCAGCAGUGGGGAAUAUUGCACAAUGGGGGAAACCCUGAUGCAGCGACGCCGCGUGAGUGAAGAAGUAUUUCGGUAUGUAAAGCUCUAUCAGCAGGGAAGAAAUAGCGACCUUUGGUUCGCCAAACGGUACCUGACACAGAAGCCCCGGCUAACUACGUGCCAGCAGCCGCGGUAAUACGUAGGGGGCAAGCGUUAUCCGGAUUUACUGGGGGUAAAGGGAGCGUAGACGGCAGCACAAGUCUGAAGUGAAAUGCCGGGGCCUAACCCCGGAACUGUUUUGGAAACUGGGCAGCUAGAGUGCAGGAGAGGUAAGUGGAAUUCCUGGUGUAGCGGUGAAAUGCGUAGAUAUUAGGAGGAACACCAGUGGCGAAGGCGGCUUACUGGACUGUAACUGACGUUGAGGCUCGAAAGCGUGGGGAGCAAACAGGAUUAGAUACCCGUGUAGUC
rnacentral:rRNA from 1 species